rnacentral:lncRNA from 1 species
AAGGCUAUCUGGAAAUAUAUUCUGAAUGUGAAAUAGGUUAAUUAAGCCCAUUGUUCCCUGGCUGUCACUCUAAGGGACAGCAGGGAGGUACCGGCUGUGUGCCUAACUAGGUUGGGUAGCAAACUUGAAUCCUUCCCACCCCUGAAUGUGCAUAUAAAAUGUGGGUUGCCUGCCAAGGUCAGGACUACAAGAUAAAUUUCUGUACAUAAACA